AAUGAGAGUGGUGCCGGCGGCGGGGGGAAUAAGGAGGAUGAGAGGUUGAAAGGGAUAGACGGGACGUAAAGCGGGCGUGGAGGGUUGUGUAAGUCUGCGGUGAAAUCCCGGGGGUUAACCUGGGAAUGGAAGGGGAUACUGGAGAGCUAGAGUGUGAGGGAGGAUGGUGGAAUUCCCGGUGUAGCGGUGAAAUGCGUAGAGAUCGGGAGGAACAUCAGGGGCGAAGGCGGCCAUCUGGAUCAACACUGACGCGGAGGCACGAAAGCGUGGGGAGCAAACAGGAUUAGAUACCCCAGUAGUC
rnacentral:rRNA from 1 species